UACGAAGGUGGCAAGCGUUGUUCGGAUUCACUGGGCGUACAGGGUGUGUAGGCGGUUUGGUAAGCCUUCUGUUAAAGCUUCGGGCCCAACCCGGAAAGCGCAGGGGGUACUGCCAGGCUAGAGGGCGGGAGAGGAGCGCGGAAUUCCCGGUGUAGCGGUGAAAUGCGUAGAUAUCUGGAGGAACACCGGAGGCGAAAGCGGUCCACUGGGCAACUUCUGACGCUGAGGUGCGAAAGCUAGGGUAGCAAACGGG
rnacentral:rRNA from 1 species